rnacentral:lncRNA from 1 species
GGGGUACCUAAAUACAAGAAACAUGUACUCAUUGCAACAAGAGAUUUCCAAUGUGUAAGUCAAGAAUUGUUCUAGGGCCCUUAACAAGUACCUUGAUUUAAGUGUAAGUCAGUGACACAUUUUGGCAGAAGUUGGAGCACUGUAGGGGGGGAAUCGUUAUGCUUUAAACUCAUGGGAAAAGAAGCAGUUAUGAAUAUUAGCAGGCUGAUAAAUGUUCAGAAGUAAUAGCCAACUUUCAGAUACUGAUUCUUUAGCUGGAGAAGAAGGUGGGCUAACGAGCAAACAUUUGAAACAGAAGACUGAACUAAGUUGUACUCGCUAUCAGUUGGUUUUUUUCUUACUUGCACAAAUUUUAUUGAUAACAAAAAUGCACUAGCAUUCUAUAUGCAAAGUUAUACUUUCUAAUAGUUGUAAUGCUCAUGAACGCCUGCAAGACAAUUGUUUUCCUCUAAAGCGAAAGCUGAAUAUAAAAUGGGUCAAACUAGG